rnacentral:rRNA from 1 species
UACAGAGGUCUCAAGCGUUGUUCGGAUUCAUUGGGCGUAAAGAGCGUGUAGGCGGCCAGAUAGGUCCGUUGUGAAAACUGGAGGCUUAACCUCCAGCUGUCGAUGGAAACCAUCUGGCUAGAGUCCGGAAGAGGAGAGUGGAAUUCCUGGUGUAGCGGUGAAAUGCGCAGAUAUCAGGAAGAACACCCGUGGCGAAGGCGGCUCUCUGGGACGGUACUGACGCUGAGACGCGAAAGCGUGGGGAGCGAACAGG